rnacentral:rRNA from 2 species
UAGGGAAUCUUCCGCAAUGGGCGAAAGCCUGACGGAGCAACGCCGCGUGAGUGAUGAAGGUCUUCGGAUCGUAAAACUCUGUUAUUAGGGAAGAACAAAUGUGUAAGUAACUAUGCACGUCUUGACGGUACCUAAUCAGAAAGCCACGGCUAACUACGUGCCAGCAGCCGCGGUAAUACGUAGGUGGCAAGCGUUAUCCGGAAUUAUUGGGCGUAAAGCGCGCGUAGGCGGUUUUUUAAGUCUGAUGUGAAAGCCCACGGCUCAACCGUGGAGGGUUAUUGGAAACUGGAAAACUUGAGUGCAGAAGAGGAAAGUGGAAUUCCAUGUGUAGCGGUGAAAUGCGCAGAGAUAUGGAGGAACACCAGUGGCGAAGGCGACUUUCUGGUCUGUAACUGACGCUGAUGUGCGAAAGCGUGGGGAUCAAACAGG